rnacentral:rRNA from 1 species
GAUGAACGCUAGCUACAGGCUUAACACAUGCAAGUCGAGGGGCAUCGGGAAGAAAGCUUGCUUUCUUUGCCGGCGACCGGCGCACGGGUGAGUAACACGUAUCCAACCUGCCCUUUACUCGGGGAUAGCCUUUCGAAAGAAAGAUUAAUACCCGAUAGCAUAAUGAUUCCGCAUGGUUUCAUUAUUAAAGGAUUCCGGUAAAGGAUGGGGAUGCGUUCCAUUAGGUUGUUGGUGGGGUAACGGCCCACCAAGCCUUCGAUGGAUAGGGGUUCUGAGAGGAAGGUCCCCCACAUUGGAACUGAGACACGGUCCAAACUCCUACGGGAGGCAGCAGUGAGGAAUAUUGGUCAAUGGGCGCUAGCCUGAACCAGCCAAGUAGCGUGAAGGAUGAAGGCUCUAUGGGUCGUAAACUUCUUUUAUAUAAGAAUAAAGUGCAGUAUGUAUACUGUUUUGUAUGUAUUAUAUGAAUAAGGAUCGGCUAACUCCGUGCCAGCAGCCGCGGUAAUACGGAGGAUCCGAGCGUUAUCCGGAUUUAUUGGGUUUAAAGGGAGCGUAGGUGGACUGGUAAGUCAGUUGUGAAAGUUUGCGGCUCAACCGUAAAAUUGCAGUUGAUACUGUCAGUCUUGAGUACAGUAGAGGUGGGCGGAAUUCGUGGUGUAGCGGUGAAAUGCUUAGAUAUCACGAAGAACUCCGAUUGCGAAGGCAGCUCACUGGACUGCAACUGACACUGACGCUCGAAAGUGUGGGUAUCAAACCAGG